CCUCGUGUGCAGUGACUCUGCCACCUGGCGGCCGCUCUGCAACGCUACAGCAGCCGCCCACUCACAGCGCCGUGUACCCUGCUGCCACCUGGCGACCGCGCUGCCUCAUAGCAGCCGCCUACAUCUAUCUACAUGUAACAGUAUGGUAAUACCGACCACAGGCGCAGUACCACUUCCCACGGGCUCUGUGCUGGGUGUAGUUCUCGCUCAACACAGGCGUAAAACAUUUACAGAGACACAAUGAUACAGUGACUCUCUGCACAGCGACAGGAACACUCUACUGCCCACAGUUACACAGUAUUUUUGAUCUUCAUGGAUUCAGUAAUAUCAGGUUUGCAAAAGUGACGUCAGAUGAAAGACUCGUGCAUCAUGGGAGGACAGAGCCAAAUCCUUUGUGGAAAUGGGAAGUAGCGCGCCUCACAGACCGUAUACUAUCACCAUCUACUAUAUAUGAUAACACGGGAACGUGUUGUGUGUAUAAUAAAUAUACCUGUAUAUAACGUA